AUGGAUAUCUGGCUUCUAGGUUGGAUAAUUUUUAGUUUCUUGGAAGCAGGACACACAGGACCCAAAGUCUUACAGAUCCCAAGUCAUCAAGUAGUAGAUAUGGGGCAGAUGGUGACCCUCAAUUGUGACCCAGUUUCUAAUCACCAAUAUUUCUAUUGGUAUAAACAGAUUUUAGGACAGCAGAUGGAGUUUCUGGUUAAUUUCUACAAUGGUAAAGUCAUGGAGAAGUCUAAACUGUUUAAGGAUCAGUUUUCAGUUGAAAGACCAGAUGAUUCAUAUUUCACUCUGAAAAUCCAACCCACAACACUGGAGGACUCAGCCAUGUACUUCUGUGCCAGCAGCUUAGCCACAGCCUUGAAAAAACACUGUCUUCCUGUACACAAACUCUUAUGUGUCUGCCUCUUUCCUAACACCCUGUCUUCCCCAGGAGAAGGAAGUCUACAUGACUAUUUUUUAAUUGCAGUUCUGUUUUGA